UACGUAGGGGGCAAGCGUUGUCCGGAAUUACUGGGUGUAAAGCGCGUGUAGGCGGGACGACAAGUCCGGCGUGAAAGGCUCGGGCUCAACCCGAGACGGCCGUUGGAAACUGUCGUUCUUGAGGGUCGAAGAGGAGAGUGGAAUUGCCGGUGUAGUGGUGAAAUGCGUAGAGAUCGGGAGGAACACCAGUGGCGAAGGCGGCCGGCUGGGGGUGCCCUGACGCUGAGGCGCGAAAGCGUGGGGAGCGAACCGG
rnacentral:rRNA from 1 species